UAGAAAUGGACGAAAGUCUGAUCUAGCAACACCGCGUGUGCGAAGAAGGCCUUCGGGUUGUAAAGCACUUUUUGGAAGGAUUAGGAAGGAAUGUACUUCCAGAAUAAGUCUCGGCUAACUACGUGCCAGCAGCCGCGGUAACACGUAGGAGGCAAACGUUAUCCGGAUUUACUGGGCGUAAAGCGCGUGUAGGUGGUUCUGUAAGUAGGGCGUGAAAGCUCCUGGCUCAACUGGGAGAGGCCGUUCUAAACUGCAGAGCUAGAGGAUGGUAGAGGGAGGUGGAAUUCCGGGUGUAGCGGUGGAAUGCGCAGAUAUCCGGAGGAACACCAGUGGCGAAAGCGGCCUCCUGGACCAUUCCUGACACUCAGACGCGAAAGCUAGGGUAGCAAACGG
rnacentral:rRNA from 1 species